rnacentral:rRNA from 1 species
AGCAGCCGCGGUAAUUCCAGCUCCAAUAGCGUAUAUUAAAGUUGUUGCAGUUAAAAAGCUCGUAGUUGAAUUUCGGGAUCAGUACGCUGGUCAUGCCUUUGGUAUGCACUGGUGUCACUGGUUUCUCCCUUCUGAAGAACCGUGAUGUCAUUAAUUUGGUGUCGCGGGGAAUCAGGACUGUUACUUUGAAAAAAUUAGAGUGUUUAAAGCAGGCUCACGCUUGAAUACAUUAGCAUGGAAUAAUGAAAUAGGACGUUUGACCCUAUUUUGUUGGUUUCUAGGAUCGACGUAAUGAUUAAUAGGGAUAGUUGGGGGCAUUAGUAUUCAAUUGUCAGAGGUGAAAUUCUUGGAUUUAUUGAAGACUAACUACUGCGAAAGCAUUUGCCAAGGAUGUUUUCAUUAAUCAAGAACGAAAGUUAGGGGAUCGAGGACGAUCAGAUACCGUCGUAGUCUUAACCAUAAACUAUGCCGACUAGGGAUCGGAUGAUGUUAAUUUUAUAAUGACUCAUUC